ensembl:piRNA 21ur-10485 ncRNA
UAAAUCAACUGUUCGAAACAU